AUGCUUGGGGAAGAACAAGGAAAGACUUGCAAUGUGCCAGACAGUUUUAUUGUCCCAGAAACAUAUAAGAUAGAUGAAGAUGAUGGAGAUGAAACACCAUAUUUUGAGAGUGAUGAUGAUAUAUCCUAUGAUGAGGAUAGUGAUGGAGAGGUUAGUGCUGUCAGGAGGAGAAAAACACAUCACAAGGUGUAUGAUGACAGCACUGAGUCCCCACAGUUUGAACUUGGUAUUGCUUUCAAUGACAGUAGGGAGUUUAAGAAGGCACUGGUCAAAUAUAGACUGAAGAACUCUCAUCAUCUCAUUUUUCCAAAGGAUGAGAAGAAGAGGGUGAGUGCUAGGUGUAGUUGGCCUAGUUGCAAAUGGAGUAUAUAUGGAUCAAUCAGCAGUAGGUCAGAUUGGUUGAUAGUCGUUAGAUACAACAAUGUGCACACGUGUGCCUAG
rnacentral:rRNA from 1 species